rnacentral:rRNA from 1 species
UACGUAGGUGGCAAGCGUUGUCCGGAAUUAUUGGGCGUAAAGCGCGCGCAGGCGGUCCUUUAAGUCUGAUGUGAAAGCCCACGGCUCAACCGUGGAGGGUCAUUGGAAACUGGGGGACUUGAGUGCAGGAGAGAAGAGUGGAAUUCUUGGUGUAGCGGUGAAAUGCGUAGAUAUCAAGAGGAACACCUGAGGUGAAGACGGGUUGCUGGGCUGACACUGACGCUGAUGCGCGAAAGCCAGGGGAGCAAACGGG